GGGUCCAAUGGUUGCUGAGGGCAAGGUCGAAACAAAGGAGACGUCGAGGACUUGUGAGUCUUUGAGCACGAAAUUCAAGGGACCUUGCAUCCGAUCAAGCAACUGUGCAAAUAUUUGCGAAGAAGAAGGCUUCAAGGGAGGCAAAUGUGUUGGCUUCAGGCUGAGAUGUACGUGCACUAAGAAUUGUUAGUGAUAUAACACACUAACUUAUUUUGGUGCAUGGGAUUGAGAUGAAUGAAAAUUUUUUACCCUUUUUUUCGUUUUGUUUAAGAGAAUAAAUGACUAACCCUAAUAUAAAUUUUGGGGUUGUGUCUGUGUUUUUGUUCUUAUGCGCUAACAGUGCGUGAGUUAUUUUGUAAUCAAUAAAAAAAAAAUAUAUCGUUCAUUUCUUAAUGUAAUGAUACUUUUUUUUCGCUAUACAAAUGUGAAUUUUCUAGCAUUACUUUAAACUUUUUACCAAUGCGUAAUAUUGAUUAUACUAUUUGUAACUUUAGGGGCUGCUUUUGUUAGUUUUUAGAGGCCAUGAACCAACUCUCACUCACCUCAAGCCACAGAGAUGCAGAAUGUAAUUGAUCCAAAUUAGUUAUAUGUACAACAAUGGAAACUUUCAUAUCCACAUCACUAAGUGACUUAAUAUGGCGCACACAACUUCUUUUAUUUCUUUUUUCUUUUUCUUUUUUGGUCGAGAAAUUUUAGGAUUGCCUUUAUAAUUUAUCCCAAAAAAGCCACUAGCUAUAAAGGGCCAUUGCAAUAACGGAGCAGUCUAACAUCAAAAUUAAAACAAUCUGGUCCGCCUCCACUAACAAUCAUGAGGAUCGAAGAAACUCUGGCAUAUGCAUCCCAACUAAGAUUGCAAACUCAGAAUAAUCAAACAGAGAUAAAGCUUGAAAAAAUCAAGCCAUAACAACACAAAUAAAACUCUCACAAAGGAGAGAUGAAAAGCUCUCACAAAAGAGAGAUGAAAAUCUCUUACAAGUGAGAGGUGAAAAGCUCUCACAAAAAGAGAGCUGAAAACUACAUAGAUAACUCAAAGAGUCUCUGUGACUUAUUCCGAACAUAAAGAAACCGCAAAAAGGAUGGUGGUUGAGAUCCGAUGCCGAAACGCAUGUGGAGAUCCAACGCCGAGACGCAGCCGCUUGUGAUGGUUGGAGGAAAAUCAUAACAAAACGAAGACAAACAGGGAAAACCUUUUGUCUCUGAAUAUGAGGGGAGAGAAGAGAGGGAGGAAGAGAAGAGGGGAGAGAGGAGGAAGAAUAGUGGCUUGCUCCCUCGUCAAAGUGAACUUGUCAUUUUCUUAUUGGUUCUUAGUGUGUUAAAAUUUUAUAAGAAGCAAUUAGUCAUUAGAAAAUGAUAAGUGACUAUUUUUGGGUUUUUUUUUCUCCCAAUAGGCUCUAAGAAAUUUCGUGUAUAUCCAUGUUAGAAUGGGUCUACUUGUGGAAAGCCCUUUUUUUUUUUGGGAUUUAACUACGACGAUCCUUGAGCUUAUACGAGUUUCAUUUUGGUCCAUCAAUUCUUGCACGAGUUCUAAUUUAGUUAAUUCAGUAUAAUAAUAAAAAAAUUGUUUGUUUUUUAAAGAUUAUUGUAUUUAAAUUAUUAGUUUUACCCCUCAGUUUUACCGAAUUUGAAAAAAAAACUAAAUUGGAACACGUACGAGAUUUGAAGGACCAAAAUAAAACUAGAUAUAAAUUUAGGGAUCAUUGCAGUUAAAAAAACCCUUGAAUUUUACUAGCAAAAUGAAAAGCCAAGAGAAUAAUUAUGAAAAAUAUAUAUAAAGAUUAGGCAUGUGAUAUUUCUAGUUAGGUGGUCACUGCACCUAGUGGAUUAGAUUCCACAUUGAGUAUCCAUAUCGAUUGGUAAUUAUCUUUUGUCAAGACAAUAGAAAAUGAUUUAAUUUUUACAAUAGUUCUUGCAUGCUAAUCAAUUACCAUAUCCGAAUAAAAUGACAUAAUAUAUUCUUGCUGGCGACUUAUAGUUUGCAUUCAUGUUUGUAAUGGACUCGACUCACAAAGAUUCAGAAGCUUUUUAAACCAAAAGGAAAUAGAAGAAAUAGAAGGAAAUCUUAUAUAGGAACAUGAUUGUUUUGGCAUAAAGUUUAGGUUGGAGGCUAUGAUUUCAGCAACUUCCUUUUGUUACCAACAAAUAAAGAAAAGGGUGGGGGAAAGUAAUUAAAGGAGGCACUUCAAAAUAAUGGGGCUUUUAAAAUAUAUAUAUAUAUAUAUAUAUAUAUCAAGGGGCAAGUCCAUUUAAAUAAUGCUUGAAUAUGUACUGUUAAGUUUUCUUUUUGAAAAUUAGUGAUAAUUGUAUUCAAUAAUUGGACAUAAAGAUCAAAUACUCAUAAAGGGUUAGUAUAAAGAUGUAUGCACAGUAACUGCAGAGGGUUAAUCCAUAUAUAAGAGGAUACAUUGGCGACAUUGCACAACUUGUAUCUCCACUAAUAGCCCUAAAAGACCGAAUAUAUUUCAAUGUAACAGUCACAUGCCUGAGCAAAUCAGACAUGUAAUACAACGCCCAAAAUUACAAAUACAACGACAACUAACUCUCAGAAGUAGAGACUAAAACACAAAUAAACACCCAACUCACAAAGAGUUGUUGGUUUCAGUAUUUUAAAAAGUAGGAAAAUUACCCUUAAAAUUAUAAAUUAUUACACUAUUGGCCCUUUUGAACGUCAAAUUACAAAUAAUUAAAAAGUUGACAUAUCCAUAUAAAAAAAGAAGAAUUGACACAUCACCUAUACUAGAAGGUUAAAUAGAAUCUGUCCAACAAAUAAAAGGUUAAAUAGAAGGUUAAAGAUUUUCUAUAAGUUCUUAUUUGUUGUCCAUAUGACAUGUUCAUUCAGGUUUAUCAUCCAUGUCCGCAUAAAAUGGGCUAAUUAAGUGUUAGGUAAAAAUAACAAAGGUUAAAUUUCUCUCCACUCUCUAUUUUUCACCGGUGUACCGCCCUUUACGGAAAUGCUCUUAAUUUGCUUCAUAACAACUCUUUAUAAAAGGCGUUGGAAGGUUACCCUUUGAAUCAAGGCAUCUUGAAUCAACAUUCAACAUCCCUCUGUCUGUGUUUUUGUUUCACACGCGUGCACGUACACACACAAAAAUCAAGAUGGAGGGAUCCAGACGUAUGUUUUCAACUGUCUUCAUCCUCGUCCUGCUCCUUGUGGCUAUUGGUAUCUCUCUCUUUCCUGAUUUUAAUUUCAUCUUUAUAUUUGAUUAGUGAUAUAUUUCUUUCCAAUGCUGAAAGACGUUUCAAGUUUGAAUCCACCUUCUCUCAUUCAUUUUUAUCGAUGAAUCUUUGGUAGGGACGGGUCCAAUGGUUGCUGAGGGCAAGGUCGAAACAAAGGAGACGUCGAGGACUUGUGAGUCUUUGAGCACGAAAUUCAAGGGACCUUGCUUCCGAUCAAGCAACUGUGCAAAUAUUUGCGAAAAAGAAGGCUUCAAGGGAGGCAAAUGUGUUGGCUUCAGGCUGAGAUGUACGUGCACUAAGAAUUGUUAGUGAUAUAACACACUAACUUAUUUUGGUGCAUGGGAUUGAGAUGAAUGAAAUUUAUUACCCUUUUUUUCGUUUUGUUUAAGAGAACAAAUGACUAACCCUAAUAUAAAUUUUGGGGUUGUGUCCGUGUUUUUGUCUUAUGCGCUAACAGUGCGUGAGUUAUUUUGUAAUCAAUAAAAUAAAAAAUAAUAUCGUUCAUUUCUCAAUGUAAUGAUACUUUUUUUUUCUCUCUAUAAAAUUGUGAUCUUUCUAGCAUUACUUUAAACUUUUUACCG
rnacentral:lncRNA from 1 species